GACAGAGGCCCCAAGCGUUAGGCGGAAUCACUGGGCUUAAAGCGUGUGUAGGCGGAUCGUUAAGUGUCUUGUGAAAUCCCACGGCUCACCCGUGGAACUGCUGGGCAUACUGGCGAUCUUGGGCCAACUAGGGGCAGCCGGAACAAGCGGUGGAGCGGUGAAAUGCGUAGAUAUCGCUUGGAACGCCGAAGGUGAAAACAGGUUGCUGGGGGUGUGCUGACGCUGAGACACGAAAGCCAGGGGAGCGAACGGG
rnacentral:rRNA from 1 species